rnacentral:rRNA from 1 species
GCCGAGGACGACCGGUCCGCCUUCUGGGUGAGCAUCUGGUUCGGCUUGGGCAUCUUCUUGGAGAACGUCGCUGCACUUGACUGUGUGGCACGGUAUCCAGGACAUUUACUUUGAGGAAAUUAGAGUGUUUCAAGCAGGCUGACGCCUUGAAUACAUUAGCAUGGAAUAAUAAGAUAGGACCUUGGUUCUAUUUUGUUGGUUUCUAGAGCUGGGGUA